rnacentral:rRNA from 1 species
GAUGAACGCUGGCGGCGUGCCUAAUACAUGCAAGUCGAGCGAACGGACGAGAAGCUUGCUUCUCUGAUGUUAGCGGCGGACGGGUGAGUAACACGUGGAUAACCUACCUAUAAGACUGGGAUAACUUCGGGAAACCGGAGCUAAUACCGGAUAAUAUUUUGAACCGCAUGGUUCAAAAGUGAAAGACGGUCUUGCUGUCACUUAUAGAUGGAUCCGCGCUGCAUUAGCUAGUUGGUAAGGUAACGGCUUACCAAGGCAACGAUGCAUAGCCGACCUGAGAGGGUGAUCGGCCACCCUGGAACUGAGACACGGUCCAGACUCCUACGGGAGGCAGCAGUAGGGAAUCUUCCGCAAUGGGCGAAAGCCUGACGGAGCAACGCCGCGUGAGUGAUGAAGGUCUUCGGAUCGUAAAACUCUGUUGUUAGGGAAGAACAUAUGUGUAAGUAACUGUGCACAUCUUGACGGUACCUAAUCAGAAAGCCACGGCUAACUACGUG